GCCCCUUAUGCCAGCCCCCCGAGCGGAAAAAGUUUGUUUCCCUUUUUGUGUUUGUUUUCCCAGAGAAGUGGUGUGUAUGCCGUGUGUUGGGUUAUGACAAGUAGCGUCAACUUGUAUUAAUUUUUGCCUUCGGAAGGGUUUAGCUCCACUAAUAUUUCAUCUUUUACUUCACCUUUGAAUGUUUUUCCUCUUUUUAAUGUGAGCUGACGAAUUCAAAAAAUUGGGAGUGUUUUGACUCCUGCAUUUUGUGUGUGUGUGUGUGUGUGUGCAUGAAGGCGUGUGUGAGAGAGAAUGUGUGCGGCUGUUGAGUCGUUGUAUGCUGCGGUGACUUAGACCUGUGCUCGUAGGUUAUUAAUCAAUUUCCCGUUUUUUGAUUGUUUUUGGUCUGGCUGCUUAUUGUGUUUUUUGUUUUUUUAUCCUUUUAGUUAUGCAAGUUUGUACAAACCUCUUUAUUUAUAUACUGCAGUGUGUAAUCUUCCAGUAAUAAAGAACUAAUUGUAUGAUGUAAAUAAAUUAUGUUCACAAAUAUAAAACAGAGUUCAUGGCUCUUCAGUAUCACAGUUGUCCUGAUGUGGUCUUCAUCCUAAAUGUAGCCAGUCCUUCCAUUUCUGACCUUUUUAUCCAUAUGGUUUAAUUCAGUCCUCACUGGCAUCUUAGUGUUUGAAUACGCUUUGUAAGCUUAUCUGUUACCAGCACGUCAACAAUGCAUCCACGGUGCGACAUCCUUCCGUUCAUCACCCGCCGACCCUGGAGACCGUAGGUUUACACGCGCGCACAACACGGGACACGACGAAGACACACUGCAUUGUGGGAAAACCUGGUUUCUUUUCAGGUGCAAAUACUGACCACCCAAAGUUUUCAGUUGUAGUUCUUGCAUUGCUGUUUCAGUAGUAUUCUCUGGUGUCCCUGCUAUGAAGUUCCGAAUAUAAUUUGUCCACCUGCAAUACUUUCACUAAUUCUUGAUUUUUUUUUUUUUUUUUUUUUCAUUAUAUGAAUCAAGCACACAAAGAUGUGUUAUUUUGUAUUCAUAAGACAAUGGGAAAACAGUACUUUUCUACCUCAUCUAUAAUACUUGUUUUGUGUAUUUUAUUUACUUCGCUUGCUCGCAACAUCUGUAAAACAGUGCGUUCAUUUUUAAGUUUUGCAGUACCAUACGUAUAUGUGCAAAUACAUUUAAGUAAAUGGC
ensembl:lncRNA